UACGUAGGGUGCAAGCGUUGUCCGGAAUUAUUGGGCGUAAAGAGCUCGUAGGCGGUUUGUCGCGUCGGCUGUGAAAACCUGGGGCUCAACCCCGGGCCUGCAGCCGAUACGGGCAAACUAGAGUUCGGUAGGGGAGACUGGAAUUCCUGGUGUAGCGGUGAAAUGCGCAGAUAUCAGGAGGAACACCGGUGGCGAAGGCGGCUCUCUGGAACGCAACUGACGCUGAGACGCGAAAGCGUGGGGAGCAAACAGG
rnacentral:rRNA from 1 species